ACUAAUUAAUUAAUUAUUCUUAUCUUUCCAGGGGACUCUGGUGAAUUCGCAAGCGGGCGUGCCUUUCGAUGUGCGAGUUGCCUCCAGUUAUGUCCGGGUCGCCACUCGCUAACUGGAUACUGCUGCGGCGUCCGUUGCCGUUGGCCACAUGUCGCGUGCCGUAGUGGACUUUGCAAGGAAUGCGGCCCAAUUUGGAGCUGUUCCUGGUCUGUGGUUGGAAGAUGCCUGUGUUGUUGCUGCUGUGCUAACUGAGGGGAUCGCUUGCGCUUGGUGCCUGUCGGAGUUUGUUGUUGUAGCUUAGUGUGCUCACUGAACCCUUGCUGCCUAUGCCGGUGAUGCCGUGGCGGAGGUGAUCGGGUUGGUUGUGCAGAUAUUGAUGGCUGCUGCUGAAUGAUCCCCGGCUGCCCUUGUCGUUGUUGCCCUGGCUGAGGGAAACUCAUUGGCAGACUUUGUUGUUGUUUUUGUCGUGGUUUGCGGAGCUGCUCUGCUGAAACUAGUUGCUGCUGUUCAAUGAUCUCUUGCUGCCUUUGUCGUUGAUAGCGUGGCGGAAGAGAUUUAAUUGGUUGUGCAGGGAUGAUUCGCUGUUUCGUUGUUGAUGAGGCUUCUGCCUGGCUCUGCUGCUGCCGCUCCAUACUCCGCAACUGUGCAAAACUUCGUACAGUUGUUCGCUUAGUAAUCACUUGCUGCCUUUGUUUUUGACGUCGUGGCAGGGGCGACCGAAUUGGAUUUGCAGAAUUAACUAGCUGCAUUUUUGCUGGUGGGCCUUCUGCCUGGCUCUGUUGCUGUUGCUCAGUGUUCCUCGGCUGCCUUUGUCGUUUGUGUCUUGGCAGAGAGAAACUCAUUCGCUGGCUUUGUUGUUGCUGUUGGCAUAAAUGGAGGAGCCCCUCUGCCAAUUGCUGCUGUUUAAUGAUAUCUUGCUGCCUUUGUCGUUGGUGCCAUGGCGGAAGAGAUUGAACAGAAAUAACUCGCUGUGACGUUGAUGGUGGGCCAUCCGCCCGGAUCUGCUGCUGCUGCUCGGUGUUCCCCGGGUGCUCUUGUCGUUGUUGUCCUGGCUGAGGGAAACUCAUUGGCUGGCUUUGAUGUUGCUGUUGCCAUGGCUGGAGGAGCUGCUCUUGCAGCUUUUGCCGUUGAUGCCGUGGCAAAGGCGAUUGAAUUGGUAGCGCAGAAUUAGCUCGCUGCGCUGUUGUUGAUGAGGCUUCCGCCCGGCUCUGCUGCUGUUUAAUAUUCUCCGGCUGCCCUUGUCUUUGUUGUCCUGGUGAGUCGAAGGCGGCUCUGCAGGUCCAAGUUGCCUCCGUCGUUUAGCUGAGGGCUGGAUUUGCUGCUGGUCUAAAAUCCCAAGUUGACCAACUCGUUGCCGUGGAAAUGGAAAUCGAAUUGUCUGUUCAGAUUUUUUAAGCUGAGUAACAGGCAAUUGCUGUAGAGUUUCUCGCUCGGUAUCCCAGUGCUGAUCUGGCCACUUCUGUGUCAUGUUGGUUUCAGACCGAAUUUGCUGCUGCUCAGUUGUUCGCUCGAUGAUCACUUGCUGCCUUCGUUGUUGACGUCGUGGCAGGGGCGAUCGAAUUGGAUUUGUAGCUAACUAAUUAGCUGUCCGCGUUGUUGUUGAUGUAGCU